GACGAACGCUGGCGGCGUGCCUAAUACAUGCAAGUCGAACGCAGUGGGGACGGGUGAGUAACACGUGGGUAACCUCCCAUCAGAGGGGAUAACACUUGGAAACAGGUGCUAAACCGAUACUGAUGGAUGGACCCGCGGUGCAUUAGCUAUUUGUUGAGGUAACGGCUCACCAAGGCCACGAUGCAUAGCCGCCUUGAUAGUGUUAUCGGCCACACUGUGACUGAGACACGGCCCCGCUUCCUACGGGAGGCAGCAGUAGGGAAUCUUCGGCAAUGGACUAAAGUCUGACCCAUCAACGCCGCGUGAGUGAAGAAGGUUUUCGGAUCGUAAAACUCUGUUGUUAGAGAAGCGGUAUCUAACCAGAAAGCCACGGCUAACUACGUGCCAGCAGCCGCGGUAAUAC
rnacentral:rRNA from 1 species